AGAGUUUGAUCCUGGCUCAGGAUGAACGCUAGCUACAGGCUUAACACAUGCAAGUCGAGGGGCAGCAUGGUCUUAGCUUGCUAAGGCCGAUGGCGACCGGCGCACGGGUGAGUAACACGUAUCCAACCUGCCGUCUACUCUUGGACAGCCUUCUGAAAGGAAGAUUAAUACAAGAUGGCAUCAUGAGUCCGCAUGUUCACAUGAUUAAAGGUAUUCCGGUAGACGAUGGGGAUGCGUCCCAUUAGAUAGUAGGCGGGGUAACGGCCCACCUAGUCUUCGAUGGAUAGGGGUUCUGAGAGGAAGGUCCCCCACAUUGGAACUGAGACACGGUCCAAACUCCUACGGGAGGCAGCAGUGAGGAAUAUUGGUCAAUGGGCGAGAGCCUGAACCAGCCAAGUAGCGUGAAGGAUGACUGCCCUAUGGGUUGUAAACUUCUUUUAUAAAGGAAUAAAGUCGGGUAUGGAUACCCGUUUGCAUGUACUUUAUGAAUAAGGAUCGGCUAACUCCGUGCCAGCAGCCGCGGUAAUACGGAGGAUCCGAGCGUUAUCCGGAUUUAUUGGGUUUAAAGGGAGCGUAGAUGGAUGUUUAAGUCAGUUGUGAAAGUUUGCGGCUCAACCGUAAAAUUGCAGUUGAUACUGGAUAUCUUGAGUGCAGUUGAGGCAGGCGGAAUUCGUGGUGUAGCGGUGAAAUGCUUAGAUAUCACGAAGACUCCGAUGCGAAGCAGCCUGUUAGCUGCACU
rnacentral:rRNA from 1 species